CAAAAAAAAAAUUAGUAAGAUGAGCUCUCGGCCCCACGCAAACCCUCCCCUUUCUGGCUUCCAACAAGACGAGGAAUUUUUGAGGGAGGGUCGAAGCAGCUCGAACAGGUCCAAAUGUCCCAUCUCCGGUAGCCAUCAGAGUAAUGACCGGUGAUGCUAUGAUUGGACGCAGAGCAAUACUAUUCCCUUUCCACAUCAUAAGGAACUGUGGUUCCUAUUUCCUUUGGAUCCAUGGUGUUGAUUUUUGGGAUUACAUAUAUGUCACGAUUUCUUUCGUCAAUCGUUUCUAAUGCUGAUGUACAUUUCUGGAAGUCAAUAAGGAUCAAGUUGAAUGCUGAACUGCCGGCUGAACAAUUUACCUUAUGUUAAUUUCUUUUUUUCUUUUUUUUUUUAUUUUUGUCUGAUAAAAGUUUAGAUGGGGCGGAUGUGGUAACCCACCAGGGCUAGGGCAAACCUUCCAACCUCUUUGAGAAUUUUUGGGAGAGAUUACAGAUCACCCACCAAUGAUUGCCUCACAUCAAUCAACGGGAUUCGAGCCUUUGUCCUUGUGAGGUAAGGGCUGAGUCUUUCAUGGGGAAUCGAACCUUCGCCCAAGUGCUUGCAAUUGCGAAUUUCCUCAGUUGUGACUCUCAAUGUAGAAGGUUGGCUUCCUCCAUGUUUGAGGAGGAAUUGACAAAGUUGACAUCUUUUUUGGAGCCAGAAGGUGCAUAAUCUGAGCUAUAUAAGAUGUAUUUGCCAUUUCUCUAUAAGUAGUCAUGAUGCUUCAGGUCACUUGUUAAUUUUCUUUCUAGUGCUGAUGUACAUUUUUGGAAGCCAACAGGGAUCAAGUUAAAUUCUGAAUUGCCGGCUGAAGAAUUUACCUUGAUGUCAAUUUCUAGUUGACUGAGGUUUCACAGUUCA